rnacentral:rRNA from 1 species
UUCCGGUUGAUCCCGCCGGACCUGACUGCUAUCGGAUUGAUACUAAGCCAUGCGAGUCUUUGUAGUAAUACAAGGCAGACGGCUCAGUAACACGUAGUCAACCUACCCUAUGGACAAGAAUAAUCUCGGGAAACUGGGCAUAAUUCUUGAUAGAUCAUAAUGCCUGGAAUGGUUUAUGGUUAAAAUGAUUCGUCGCCAUAGGAUGGGACUGCGGCCUAUCAGCUUGUUGGUGAGGUAAUGGCCCACCAAGGCGAUUACAGGUACGGGCUCUGAGAGGAGAAGCCCGGAGAUGGGUACUGAGACACGGACCCAGGCCCUAUGGGGCGCAGCAGGCGAGAAAACUUUGCAAUGUGCGAAAGCACGACAAGGUUAAUCCGAGUGAUUUCUGCUAAAGGAAUCUUUUGCCAGUUCUAAAAAUACUAGUGAAUAAGGGGUGGGCAAGUUCUGGUGUCAGCCGCCGCGGUAAAACCAGCACCUCAAGUGGUCAGGAGGAUUAUUGGGCCUAAAGCAUCCGUAGCCUGCUCUGUAAGUUUUCGGUUAAAUCUAUAUGCUCAACGUAUAGGCUGCCGAAAAUACUGCAGUGCUAGGAAGUGGGAGAGGUAGACGGUACUUGAUAGGAAGGGGUAAAAUCCUUUGAUCUAUCGAUGACCACCUGUGGCGAAGGCGGUCUACCAGAACACGUUCGACGGUGAGGGAUGAAAGCUGGGGGAGCAAACCGGAUUAGAUACCCGGGUAGUCCCAGCUGUAAACGAUGCAGACUAGAUGAUGCAUUGGCAUAUAGCCAGUGCAGUGUCUCAGGGAAGCCGUUAAGUCUGCCGCCUGGGAAGUACGUACGCAAGUAUGAAACUUAAAGGAAUUGGCGGGGGAGCACCACAAGGGGUGAAGCCUGCGGUUCAAUUGGAUUCAACGCCGGG